rnacentral:rRNA from 3 species
GGCAAUAGCCAAUGCAUUAAUAUGAUGCAAUAUCGAAGUCGAAUAAAAUUCUGGGUAGACUAUGAUAAUGACAUUAUCUAUCUAGAUGUCUUGACCAAAAUACGUGCCAGCAGUCGCGGUAAGACGUUAAAGACAAGUGUUAUUCAUGUUUAAUCGGUUUAAAGAGUCCCAAGACUGUUAAUAAAGCCUACUGGGGACACAUUAACUAGAGUUAUAUGAAAGGGGGCUGUGAGGUACUGUCGGGUGGAGAGAUAAAAUUCCAUUAUACAGAUGAUGGCACCAACAAAUGCGAAGGCAUCCUCUUAUGUAAUAACUGACGUUUUCAGACGAAGGCUUAGGGAAGAAAAAUGGAUUAGAUACCCUCGUAUUCUAAGCAGAAAAUGAUGAAUGUCAUAGGUUGAAGAUAAAUAAUAUUUAUUUUGGUCUAUAAAUGAAAGUGUAAGCAUUCCACCUCAAGAGUAAUUUGGCAACAUUGGAACUGAAAUCAUUAGGCCGUUUUUGAAACCAGUAGUGAAGUAUGUUGUUUAAUUUGAUAACCCGCACAAAACCUUACCACUAUUUGCAUAAAUAUUUAUGUAUAUAUUUACAAGUGUUGCACGGCUGUCUUCAGUUGAUGUCGUGAGGCUAGGUUACUCCUAACAAUCAACGCAAACCCUUACUUUAUUUUUAUAUAAAGUUGUUCACCUGUCAUGGGAGAUGCUAAUAGGGA